rnacentral:lncRNA from 1 species
CAUUAACCAGAAGAGGAGAAACGUCAACAUUUUUAAAAGCCCCUCUGAGCCCUGUUCCAAUUUCAUUUCUUUAUUUUCCUGAUUGGAAGAGGCAGGUUUCUGGAGCUGAGUCAAAUUCAUUCAGAGGCCUACAAAAAGCCUGCCCUGUGUCUUAGAGAGGCCCUGACGCGGCCUUCUCCUACUGCUGGUGCAUCCUGGACAUCAUAAUGCUCUUCAACCUCGCUAAUCAGAGGACCAGGGGCCAGGCAGUCAUGACACUACUCCAG